UCCGGCUUAUCACCGGCGGUUUCUUUAGAGUGCCCAACUAAAUGAUGGCAACUAAAGACGAGGGUUGCGCUCGUUGCGGGACUUAACCCAACAUCUCACGGCACGAGCUGACGACAGCCAUGCAGCACCUUACUGGCGGUGUAUUGCUACAAAGUGAGCUUUCACCCACGGUCCACCAGCAUGUCAAGCCCAGGUAAGGUUCUUCGCGUUGCUUCGAAUUAAACCACAUACUCCACCGCUUGUGCGGGCCCCCGUCAAUUCCUUUGAGUUUUAGCCUUGCGGCCGUACUCCCCAGGCGGGGUGCUUAAUGCGUUAGCUACGGCACCGCAGGGGUCAAAGCCCGCGACACCUAGCACCCAUCGUUUACGGCGUGGACUAC
rnacentral:misc_RNA from 1 species